AUGGAGUCACAAAAUCAAGUUCUCAUGUCCCUGCUGCUCUGGGUGUCUGGUAUCUGUGGGGACAUCUUGAUGACCCAGUCUCCAUCCUCCCUGGCUGUGUCAGCAGGAGAAAAGGUCACCAUCAACUGCAAGUCCAGUCAGAGUCUGUAUGGCAGCAAUAACAAGAACUACUUGUACUGGUACCAGCAGAAACCAGGACAGGCUCCUAAACGUCUGAUCUACUGGGCAUCCACUCGGGACACUAGGGUCCCUGAUCGCUUUACAGGCAGUGGGUCUGAGACAGAUUUCACUCUCACCAUCAGCAGUGUCCAGGCUGAGGACCUGGCAGAUUACUACUGUCUGCAGCUACACAGUUAUCCUCCCACAGUGCGUCAGCUGAGAGUCUCACCAGCUGCCUGCACCACACACAGCCCUGGAUGUGUGCACUUCCCCCUUCUGCCUGAGAGCUGGUGUGCCUGA